GGGGGGGGGGGGGGGGGGGGUGGGCGGGUGGGGGUCGGGCGGGGGGGGCGUGCUUGUGGGGGGGGCUCGGGUGGCGGACGGGUGGGUAACCCGUGGGUGACCUGCCCUUGGCUUUGGGAUCACUUCAGGCACCUGGGGCUUAUGCCGGCUAGGAGCUCCUGCUGCAUGGUGGGGGUUGGACCGUUUCGGCGGUUGGGGCUGGACUCGCGUCUUACCAGCUUGUUGGUGGGGUAGUGGCUUACCAAGGCUUUGACGGGUAGCCGGCCUGAGAGGGUGACCGGCCACAUUGGGACUGAGAUACGGCCCAGACUCCUACGGGAGGCAGCAGUGGGGAAUAGUGCACAAUGGGCGGAAGCCUGAUGCAGCAACGCCGCGUGCGGGAUGACGGCCUUCGGGUUGUAAACCGCUUUCGCCGGUGACGAAGCGUGAGUGACGGUAAUGGGUAAAGAAGCACCGGCUAACUACGUG
rnacentral:rRNA from 1 species